UACGUAGGGGGCAAGCGUUGUCCGGAAUUAUUGGGCGUAAGGAGCGUGUAGGCGGUCCGGUAAGUCAGCUGUGAAAGUCAAGGGCUCAACCCUUGAAUGCCGGUUGAUACUGUCGGGCUAGAGUCCGGAAGAGGCGAGUGGAAUUCCCGGUGUAGCGGUGAAAUGCGCAGAUAUCGGGAGGAACACCAAUGGCGAAGGCAGCUCGCUGGGACGGUACUGACGCUGAGACGCGAAAGCGUGGGGAGCAAACAGG
rnacentral:rRNA from 1 species